GCCCACAAGCAGAUCCAAAGGUAUCCCUGAAACUGAAAGACGUUGCAGAGCUCACUGUGACCAAACAGAAGAGAAAAGAAGGACAAAGACGUGGUAAAACUAUCUGAGAUGGUGAGAAUGAGCAAAAACAACAGGGAGGAGAAGCGGCGCAGCCUAGACAAGUGGACCCUGACCCAGGAGGCCUAGGAGAAAAUGCAGGAGAAGCAGCAAAUGGAAAGGUUCCAGGAGGAAGCAUCCACCAUGCACCAGCAGAGUGUGGAGGACUUCAACACACAGCUGGAUACACUCAGGGAGCGUAUCCAAGUCAUUUGAACCAAG
rnacentral:lncRNA from 1 species